GGGGUCCUAGUCCGGUUGCGCCGCGGCGUGAGGUGAGGUGUGAGUUGCCCUGGAGGGUGGCGGGUUUUCCAGGCGCAUGCAUUUGCCGCGGACGGGACGAGAGGAUGAAGCCGUUCUGGGCGCCGGAACUCGCUUGUGGGAACCGCCCCUCGGAAGCCGGCCUGGGCGCCCUCGGAAGCCGGCCUGGGCGCCCUCGGCGGGAGGGAGUGCUGGGCCGGGUGCUGGCGCAGCGCUACGCAGGGUGGCGGAACCCAGAGGACCGGACGGGCUCGUUCAGGGUGGCGGCCCGGCGGGGGCGAUGCCCGCCAGCAGAGACACCGAUGGAAACCUUGCCCAGUUAUUUUCUUUGCCCAGGGUAGUUCCUGGAACAUGGUUGAUGCCCAGUAUUUGUCAAAAGUACGCGGAGGGCAAAGAACUUAAGCGCUCGAUAGCGAAGGCACAGGCCCUUCAAAGUCUUUUGAGCUCUGAGCGAUACAUUAGCAUGAAGGAUCGUAGCUAAUAUGGGGGUUGAUGAAGGAGGAUCCUUGGCUGGAGCCCAGGUGUGCAUAGGGCAUGAGGAAAGCAAGUCAUAACGGCCUUUCACGUGUCAUUAGGAAUCUGGGCAGCAGGGUGUGGUUUGGGUUACUCUGGAGUCUAUUGACGCAGCCCAGGGUGAGGAGAUGAGAACUGGGGGUAUUCCUGGUGUGUACUGUGAUGUAUGGAGAGGAUGGGGACAGGGAGAAUGGAUCGGGGGUCAGCUGUGGCAGGUGACCAGAAACUUGGUGACAGGUUGAAUAAAGAUGGUUAAAAAAAAAAAAA
ensembl:lncRNA novel transcript, antisense to NME6